UGAGGAAUAUUGGACAAUGGGCGCAAGCCUGAUCCAGCCAUGCCGCGUGCAGGAUGACGGUCCUAUGGAUUGUAAACUGCUUUUGUACAGGAAGAAACAGUUCUACGUGUAGAACCUUGACGGUACUGUAAGAAUAAGGAUCGGCUAACUCCGUGCCAGCAGCCGCGGUAAUACGGAGGAUCCAAGCGUUAUCCGGAAUCAUUGGGUUUAAAGGGUCCGUAGGCGGUUAGAUAAGUCAGUGGUGAAAGCCCAUCGCUCAACGGUGGAACGGCCAUUGAUACUGUCUGACUUGAAUUAUUAGGAAGUAACUAGAAUAUGUAGUGUAGCGGUGAAAUGCUUAGAGAUUACAUGGAAUACCAAUUGCGAAGGCAGGUUACUACUAAUGGAUUGACGCUCACACACGAAAGCUAGGGUAGCGAAGAGGAUUAGAUACCCAAGUAGUCCCUGAGCGGGCUGGCAAGGCGCAU
rnacentral:rRNA from 1 species